rnacentral:rRNA from 1 species
ACGGGAGGCAGCAGUGGGGAAUAUUGCACAAUGGAGGAAACUCUGAUGCAGCGACGCCGCGUGAGUGAAGAAGUAUUUCGGUAUGUAAAGCUCUAUCAGCAGGAAAGAAAAUGACGGUACCUGACUAAGAAGCCCCGGCUAACUACGUGCCAGCAGCCGCGGUAAUACGUAGGGGGCAAGCGUUAUCCGGAUUUACUGGGUGUAAAGGGAGCGUAGACGGUUUUGCAAGUCUGAAGUGAAAACCCGGGGCUCAACCCCGGGAUUGCUUUGGAAACUGUAGAACUAGAGUGCAGGAGAGGUAAGUGGAAUUCCUAGUGUAGCGGUGAAAUGCGUAGAUAUUAGGAGGAACACCAGUGGCGAAGGCGGCUUACUGGACUGUAACUGACGCUGAGGCUCGAAAGCGUGGGGAGCAAACAGGAUUAGAUACCCUGGUA